ACACUCCUGCGGGAGGCAGCAGUAGGGAAUCUUCCACAAUGGGUGCAAACCUGAUGGAGCAAUGCCGCGUGAGUGAAGAAGGUCUUCGGAUCGUAAAGCUCUGUUGUUAGAGAAGAACACGUGCUAGGUAACUACUAGCGCCUUGACGGUAUCUAACCAGAAAGUCACGGCUAACUACGUGCCAGCAGCCGCGGUAAUACGUAGGUGACAAGCGUUGUCCGGAUUUAUUGGGCGUAAAGGGAGCGCAGGCGGUCUGUUUAGUCUAAUGUGAAAGCCCACGGCUUAACCGUGGAACGGCAUUGGAAACUGACAGACUUGAAUGUAGAAGAGGAAAAUGGAAUUCCAAGUGUAGCGGUGGAAUGCGUAGAUAUUUGGAGGAACACCAGUGGCGAAGGCGAUUUUCUGGUCUAACAUUGACGCUGAGGCUCGAAAGCGUGGGGAGCGAACAGGAUUAGAAACCCCAGUAGUCCCA
rnacentral:rRNA from 1 species